GUCUAUAUAGCUCAGAGGUAGAGUGUGGGAUUGAAAAUCCAAAGGUCAGUGGUUCGAUUCCACUUUUAGACA
rnacentral:tRNA from 1 species